GAGAUUCCCCCAGUAGCGGCGAGCGAACGGGGAGGAGCCCAGAGCCUGAACCAGCAUGUGUGUUAGUGGAAGCGUCUGGAAAGACGCGCGAUACAGGGUGACAGCCCCGUACACAAAAGCGCAUGUGCUGUGAGCUCGAUGAGUAGGGCGGGACACGUGGUAUCCUGUCUGAAUAUGGGGGGACCAUCCUCCAAGGCUAAAUACUCCUGAC
rnacentral:rRNA from 1 species